rnacentral:rRNA from 1 species
UACGAAGGGUGCAAGCGUUAAUCGGAAUUACUGGGCGUAAAGCGUGCGUAGGUGGUUGUUUAAGUCUGUUGUGAAAGCCCUGGGCUCAACCUGGGAAUUGCAGUGGAUACUGGGCGACUAGAGUGUGGUAGAGGAUGGUGGAAUUCCCGGUGUAGCGGUGAAAUGCGUAGAGAUCGGGAGGAACAUCAGUGGCGAAGGCGGCCAUCUGGGACAACACUGACGCUGAAGCACGAAAGCGUGGGGAGCAAACAGG